GAUGAACGCUGGCGGCGUGCCUAAUACAUGCAAGUCGAGCGAACAGACGAGGAGCUUGCUCCUCUGACGUUAGCGGCGGACGGGUGAGUAACACGUGGAUAACCUACCUAUAAGACUGGGAUAACUUCGGGAAACCGGAGCUAAUACCGGAUAAUAUAUUGAACCGCAUGGUUCAAUAGUGAAAGACGGUUUUGCUGUCACUUAUAGAUGGAUCCGCGCCGCAUUAGCUAGUUGGUAAGGUAACGGCUUACCAAGGCAACGAUGCGUAGCCGACCUGAGAGGGUGAUCGGCCACACCGGAACUGGGACACGGUCCAGACUCCUACGGGAGGCAGCAGUAGGGAAUCUUCCGCAAUGGGCGAAAGCUUGACGGAGCAACGCCGCGUGAGUAAUGAAGGUCUUCGGAUCGUAAAACUCUGUUAUUAGGGAAGAACAAAUGUGUAAGUAACUAUGCACGUCUUGACGGUACCUAAUCAGAAAGCCACGGCUAACUACGUG
rnacentral:rRNA from 1 species